rfam:Hordeum vulgare subsp. vulgare, WGS project CAJW01000000 data, contig: morex_contig_1200080
CAAAAACACCCUCCGUCCGGAAAUACUUGUCCUAGAAAUGGAUAUAAUGGAUGUAUCUAUAANUAAAAUAAGUCUAGAUACAUUCAUAUUUUGGACAAGUAUUUCCGGACAGAG